AAUCAACGCUGGCGGCGUGCCUAACACAUGCAAGUCGUACGCGAAAGGGGCUUCGGCCCUGAGUAGAGUGGCAAACGGGUGAGUAACGCGUGGGUGACCUACCUUUGAGCGGGGGAUAACGUUCCGAAAGGGACGCUAAUACCGCAUGACAUCCUGCCUUUGGACAGGCGGAGAUCAAAGCCGGGGAUCGCAAGACCUGGCACUCGAAGAGGGGCCCGCGUCCGAUUAGCUAGUUGGUGAGGUAAUGGCUCACCAAGGCAACGAUCGGUAGCCGGCCUGAGAGGGCGGACGGCCACACUGGGACUGAGACACGGCCCAGACUCCUACGGGAGGCAGCAGUGGGGAAUUGUUCGCAAUGGGCGCAAGCCUGACGACGCAACGCCGCGUGGAGGACGAAGAUCUUCGGGUCGUAAACUCCUGUCGAGCGGGACGAACACCAUGCGGGUGAAUAAUCCGCGUGGCUGACGGUACCGCCAAAGGAAGCCCCGGCUAACUCCGUGCCAGCAGCCGCCG
rnacentral:rRNA from 1 species